CGCGUCUAUCUGCAGUCGAGCGAUGGAUUGAGAGCUUGCUCUCAGAAGUUAGCGGCGGACGGGUGAGUAACACGUGGGUAACCUGCCCAUAAGACUGGGAUAACUCCGGGAAACCGGGGCUAAUACCGGAUAAUAUUUUGAACUGCAUGGUUCGAAAUUGAAAGGCGGCUUCGGCUGUCACUUAUGGAUGGACCCGCGUCGCAUUAGCUAGUUGGUGAGGUAACGGCUCACCAAGGCAACGAUGCGUAGCCGACCUGAGAGGGUGAUCGGCCACACUGGGACUGAGACACGGCCCAGACUCCUACGGGAGGCAGCAGUAGGGAAUCUUCCGCAAUGGACGAAAGUCUGACGGAGCAACGCCGCGUGAGUGAUGAAGGCUUUCGGGUCGUAAAACUCUGUUGUUAGGGAAGAACAAGUGCUAGUUGAAUAAGCUGGCACCUUGACGGUACCUAACCAGAAAGCCACGGCUAACUACGUGCCAGCAGCCGCGGUAAUACGUAGGUGGCAAGCGUUAUCCGGAAUUAUUGGGCGUAAAGCGCGCGCAGGUGGUUUCUUAAGUCUGAUGUGAAAGCCCACGGCUCAACCGUGGAGGGUCAUUGGAAACUGGGAGACUUGAGUGCAGAAGAGGAAAGUGGAAUUCCAUGUGUAGCGGUGAAAUGCGUAGAGAUAUGGAGGAACACCAGUGGCGAAGGCGACUUUCUGGUCUGUAACUGACACUGAGGCGCGAAAGCGUGGGGAGCAAACAGGAUUUAGAUACCCUGGUAGUCACGCGUAAACGAUGGAGUGCUAGUGUAGAGGGCUUCCCGCCCUUUAGUGCCUGAGUAACGCAUAGCACUUCGUCUGAGAGUACGACGCAGCUGAACUCGACGAUCGAAUUU
rnacentral:rRNA from 1 species